rnacentral:rRNA from 1 species
GAUGAACGCUGGCGGCGUGCCUAAUACAUGCAAGUCGAGCGAACAGAUCAGGAGCUUGCUCGUCGGACGUUAGCGGCGGACGGGUGAGUAACACGUGUAUAACCUACCUAUAAGACGGGUAUAACUUCGGGAAACCGGAGCUAAUACCGGAUGAUAUAUUGAACCGCAGGGGGCGAUGGUAAAAGACGGUGGUUCGGGCAGUAAUAGAUGGAUCCGCGCCGCAUUGGCUAGUUGGUAAGGUAACGGCUUACGAAGGCAACGAUGCGUAGCCGAACUGAGAGGGUGGUAGCCCACCCUGGAACUGAGACGCGGUCAAGACUCCUGCGGGAGGCAGCAGUAGGGAAUCUUCCGCAAUGGGCGAAAGCAUGACGGAGCAACGCCGCGUGAGUGAUGAAGGCCUUCGGAUCGUAAAACUCUGUUAUUAGGGAAGAACCAAUGUGUACGUAACUAUGCCGUUAUUGACGGUACUUAAUAAGAAAGCCACGGCUAACUACGUG